rnacentral:rRNA from 1 species
ACGAACGCUGGCGGCGUGCCUAAUACAUGCAAGUAGAACGCUGAAGGAGGAGCUUGCUUCUCUGGAUGAGUUGCGAACGGGUGAGUAACGCGUAGGUAACCUGCCUGGUAGCGGGGGAUAACUAUUGGAAACGAUAGCUAAUACCGCAUAAUAGUAGAUGUUGCAUGACAUUUGCUUAAAAGGUGCAAUUGCAUCACUACCAGAUGGACCUGCGUUGUAUUAGCUAGUUGGUGGGGUAACGGCUCACCAAGGCGACGAUACAUAGCCGACCUGAGAGGGUGAUCGGCCACACUGGGACUGAGACACGGCCCAGACUCCUACGGGAGGCAGCAGUAGGGAAUCUUCGGCAAUGGACGGAAGUCUGACCGAGCAGCGCCGCGUGAGUGAAGAAGGUUUUCGGAUCGUAAAGCUCUGUUGUAAGAGAAGAACGAGUGUGAGAGUGGAAAGUUCACACUGUGACGGUAUCUUACCAGAAAGGGACGGCUAACUACGUG